rnacentral:rRNA from 1 species
GAUGAACGCUAGCUACAGGCUUAACACAUGCAAGUCGAGGGGAAACGAUAGAGAAAGCUUGCUUUUUCUAGGCGUCGACCGGCGCACGGGUGAGUAACGCGUAUCCAACCUGCCCACCACUUGGGGAUAACCUUGCGAAAGUAAGACUAAUACCCAAUGAUAUCUCAAGAAGACAUCUGAAUGAGAUUAAAGAUUUAUCGGUGAUGGAUGGGGAUGCGUCUGAUUAGCUUGUUGGCGGGGUAACGGCCCACCAAGGCGACGAUCAGUAGGGGUUCUGAGAGGAAGGUCCCCCACAUUGGAACUGAGACACGGUCCAAACGCCUACGGGAGGCAGCAGUGAGGAAUAUUGGUCAAUGGACGAGAGUCUGAACCAGCCAAGUAGCGUGCAGGAUGACGGCCCUAUGGGUUGUAAACUGCUUUUAUAAGGGAAUAAAGUGAGUCUCGUGAGACUUUUUGCAUGUACCUUAUGAGUAAGGACCGGCUAAUUCCGUGCCAGCAGCCGCCGUAA